UGAGGAAUAUUGGUCAAUGGGCGCAAGCCUGAACCAGCCAUCCCGCGUGCAGGAAGACGGCGCUAUGCGUUGUAAACUGCUUUUCCAGGGAGGGAAACUUGCGCACGUGUUGCGCAAUUGACGGUACCCUGGGAAUAAGCAUCGGCUAACUCCGUGCCAGCAGCCGCGGUAAUACGGAGGAUGCGAGCGUUAUCCGGAUUCAUUGGGUUUAAAGGGUGCGUAGGCGGACUAUUAAGUCAGUGGUGAAAUCCUGCAGCUUAACUGCAGAACUGCCAUUGAUACUGAUAGCCUUGAGUUUGGUUAAGGUAGGCGGAAUGUGUAAUGUGGCGGUGAAAUGCUUAGAUAUUACACAGAACACCGAUUGCGUAGGCAGCUUACUGAGCCGACACUUACGCUGAGGCACGAAAGCGUGGGG
rnacentral:rRNA from 1 species